rnacentral:lncRNA from 1 species
AAUCAGCCUUAAGAAAUCAUGAGUCACGCGGCAGGGAAAGCAACGCCAGCGCCAAGUAACUUCUCUGAGAACUGGGAACCCACGGGCUUGGACAAACACUGUGGAAUAUUAUAUCUGGGGCCAACGCCUUGAAAUAUAACUUGCUGCACCCACUUGAUACGUCUGCUUCACCCUGCCAGGCAGCCCAUGCGCUGAGGGUAGGGGCCAUAUGUCUUAUCUACUGAUCAAUUCCCAGAGCGAAGACCAUACCUAGCACACACAAGGCACUAAAGGGACUUUCAGUAAAUGAGCAUAAUCUUGCGUGCAUUUGGCUUUCACGGAUCACAUCUAGAAUACAAACUGCACCAAAGGUGGGGC